CCCGCACAAGCGGUGAGCAUGUGGUUUAAUUCGAAGCAACGCGAAGAACCUUACCAGGUACUUGACAUCCCGAUGCUAUUUCUAGAGAUAGAAAGUUACUUCGGUACAUCGGUGACAGGUGGUGCAUGGUUGUCGUCAGCUCGUGUCGUGAGAUGUUGGGUUAAGUCCCGCAACGAGCGCAACCCCUAUUGUUAGUUGCCAUCAUUCAGUUGGGCACUCUAGCGAGACUGCCGGUAAUAAACCGGAGGAAGGUGGGAUGACGUCAAAUCAUCAUGCCCCUUAUGACCUGGGCUACACACGUGCUACAAUGGUUGGUACAACGAGUUGCGAGUCGGUGACGGCGAGCUAAUCUCUUAAAGCCAAUCUCAGUUCGGAUUGUAGGCUGCAACUCGCCUACAUGAAGUCGGAAUCGCUAGUAAUCGCGGAUCAGCACGCCGUGGUGAAUACGUUCCCGGGCCUU
rnacentral:rRNA from 1 species